rnacentral:rRNA from 1 species
UCAGGUGGUUAUAGCACGAGGGUUCCACCUCUUCCCAUUCCGAACAGAGAAGUUAAGCCUCGUCACGCCGAUGGUACUGCGUAACAGUGGGAGAGUAGGUAGCCGCCGCUU